AGAGUUUGAUCCUGGCUCAGAACGAACGCUGGCGGCAGGCUUAACACAUGCAAGUCGAACGCACCGCAAGGUGAGUGGCAGACGGGUGAGUAACGCGUGGGAACGUGCCCUUCAGUUCGGGAUAACCCAGGGAAACUUGGGCUAAUACCGGAUACGUGCGAGAGCAGAAAGAUUCAUCGCUGAAGGAUCGGCCCGCGUCUGAUUAGCUAGUUGGUAGGGUAAUGGCCUACCAAGGCGACGAUCAGUAGCUGGUCUGAGAGGAUGAUCAGCCACAUUGGGACUGAGACACGGCCCAAACUCCUACGGGAGGCAGCAGUGGGGAAUAUUGGACAAUGGGCGCAAGCCUGAUCCAGCCAUGCCGCGUGAGUGAUGAAGGCCUUAGGGUUGUAAAGCUCUUUCGUCCGGGACGAUAAUGACGGUACCGGAAGAAGAAGCCCCGGCUAACUUCGUGCCAGCAGCCGCGGUAAUACGAAGGGGGCUAGCGUUGUUCGGAAUCACUGGGCGUAAAGGGCGCGUAGGCGGCCUGAUAAGUCGGGGGUGAAAGCCUGUGGCUCAACCACAGAAUUGCCUUCGAUACUGUCGGGCUUGAGACCGGAAGAGGUAAGUGGAACUGCGAGUGUAGAGGUGAAAUUCGUAGAUAUUCGCAAGAACACCAGUGGCGAAGGCGGCUUACUGGUCCGGUUCUGNNGCUGAGGCGCGAAAGCGUGGGGAGCAAACAGGAUUAGAUACCCUAGUAGUCC
rnacentral:rRNA from 1 species